rnacentral:rRNA from 1 species
UACGAAGGGGGCUAGCGUUGCUCGGAAUUACUGGGCGUAAAGCGCACGUAGGCGGUCUUUUAAGUCGGGGGUGAAAUCCUGGAGCUCAACUCCAGAACUGCCAUUGAAACUGUUUAGCUUGAGGAUGAGAGAGGUGAGUGGAAUUCCCAGUGUAGAGGUGGAAUUCGUAGAUAUUGGGAAGAACACCGGUGGCGAAGGCGGCUCACUGGCUCAUUACUGACGCUCAGGCGCGAUAGCGUGGGGAUCAAACAGG